CCCGCCCGCAGCUCCCCGCCCUCCCGUGGUCCCGCAUCUCCUCCCCACAUCACCUCCCCUGCAGAAGCUGCGCUUGCAGAGUCCCUGGGUCUGAGGGUCGGGGACCCCGCCGUCCCCCUCAUCCGGGACAUCAAGGAGACCCUGAACACCUUCCGAGCCCGCGGUCUCCCCGGGCCCAGACAUCAGCGCUACCACGAAGCGUUGGCCCACGAACCUCAAAAUUAAUGGAGAUUUGCAAAAUUUUUAUUAAAAAUAUAUAUUACGAGUGUGUAGACCGCUAUAAUUUAAGGCUUAGUUAAAAAGAUACUAAUUAAAAUAUUAAAGAAUUACCUGAAAAAUAUCUGGAUGUCGGACUAUAUAAAUCCAUGGUAUAAAAAAUGCUCAAAAAAGAGCGACGAUCAAAAUUAUUUCAAUUCUUUUACUAUUGUCUUAGUACAAAGAAUAUUUUCGUAAUCAUUUUUUUAAAUUAACUAAAAAUUCUAAAUCUAAUCAUUAAUGUAGACAACAUUUUUCGAUUUGGGAACAUUUUCGAAAAAAUGCGAAAUAAUCCGGAGUCUUUAGCAACACUCAGUGAAAACAACAGCUAUCGUGUUGGGAACUUCACAUAACCCAAAGUUUGUCCAAAUGCCGAUCAUGAAUAGAAGCAUUCAUACAGCGACCCCGGUAGUAAUAUUUAUUGGAUCAAAAUGGGUAAAAUUGGAGACUCAACUCCGGGUGUGAAAAUUUUUUGUUUGCAUUUUUACCGGAAAUUUUUUUUUUUCAUUUUUACCAAUGUGAAUAUUUGUCGACGUGCAUACUUGUCGUUUGUUGUGUAUAUGUAUAUAUUGUAAAUACGAACUGCUAUAAAUUAAAAUGUUUUUCUAACCUAGAAUUUUAUGAUGACAAAAGAGUGGUUUAAAAAAGAAAAUGGGAUGAACUGUGUAUGUAAUAAGUUUGAAAUCUACUUUGAAAAAUAUGUAUAUACUUUGACUGCUUUGUUAUACACCUAUAAAUUAAACUAUUUCAACGUUUGUAAUAAAAUCUGAUCUUGGCUUGUAAAUUUGAAAAUAUUGCAACAUUGUUGUUUCAAGAUUUACGCUUAUUGUCUUUUAAGGUUUACUGAUUUAAUUUGACGUUUAUGAAAAAAAUAAUACGUAAUUGCCGGAUUUUUUUAAAGAAUUUUGUUAUAGCUAAUCGCGACUGCAGAUCCUUGUAAUAUUUCAGACCAAUUUAUUAUAGUAAUUGUUUGUACGCCGUUGUGAUGAAGAUGGUCCGCAUAACUUUAAACCGCUUACAGACAUUUCAUAUUUUCGUAUUGAUUCAAUGUUAUUGGCUCUUUUGUUUAUGCAUGACAAUUUCUGUGAUGCAUAACGUAUAAUAUAACAUUUUAUUCGUAUGUUGAAAUUUCAAAUCCAAUGUUUCCAAGUAUGACAAACGAAGCCUGAUAGAAAACGUAAUUGACGACAAUUUAAAUACACAUGAAUAUUCGUACCCUACACUUUUUGUUGCUCUGUGAGGGAUUAGCAAUAAGAGUUCCAUCUGUGUGCAAAAUUUCAGUGUAAAAAGUAAAAAUUAAUGACUUCCUGUGUGUUGUGGAGGAAACCAAACAUCAAAACGUGAGUACAAAUCCGUUUCAAACCCGCAAUUUUGUACCUAUACCCUCGAGUGUUAAACAUCAAAACGAGUCGGAAAGAUUUUUUUAUCCUCACUUGUCUUUAGUGAAAUCAAAUUAAUACCCAACGUGUGCCUGAAUCCCGAGAUUAAAAUAGGAUUAAUAGCAAGGUGAGAUAAGAAAUGAAAUUUGAUUAAUUUCUUUUAUAAAUUGAAAACUUAUUCUGCAAUUCAAUUACAAUUUAUUCUCAAUAACGUCCAUUUUCCUACGCAGUUGAAUGAAUUUGAGGAUCGCUCGAAGUUCAAACUCCUGUACAUUUGAGUAUCACUCGUCUUGUACAAAGAUUUCUUUCAUGAAAAUGAUCCCUGACGAAAUUCUUCCUAAUUGAACAUAUUUCAAUCCGGAUGUUGUAAUAAAUCAAUUUUGUACAUAGUCAAUCUUUAAUCUGUGUUAUGACCUUUUUCUGAAUUACCUCUAUGUUUGAGUGCUCCCACAAACGACUAUAAUGAUUUAGUUCACAAAUUAUUGUACAGGAUAAUAAAACUAACUUAUAACUGAGGUUGUUGAAGUAAAAUGUAUUUAUUUGUUGUUAGUUU
rnacentral:lncRNA from 1 species